GAUGAACGCUGGCGGCGUGCCUAAUACAUGCAAGUCGAGCGAACGGACGAGAAGCUUGCUUCUCUGAUGUUAGCGGCGGACGGGUGAGUAACACGUGGAUAACCUACCUAUAAGACUGGGAUAACUUCGGGAAACCGGAGCUAAUACCGGAUAAUAUUUUGAACCGCAUGGUUCAAAAGUGAAAGACGGUCUUGCUGUCACUUAUAGAUGGAUCCGCGCUGCAUUAGCUAGUUGGUAAGGUAACGGCUUACCAAGGCAACGAUGCAUAGCCGACCUGAGAGGGUGAUCAGCCACACUGGAACUGAGACACGGUCCAGACUCCUACGGGAGGCAGCAGUAGGGAAUCUUCCGCAAUGGGCGAAAGCCUGACGGAGCAACGCCGCGUGAGUGAUGAAGGUCUUCGGAUCGUAAAACUCUUUUAUUAGGGAAGAACAUAUGUGUAAUUAACUGUGCACAUCUUGACGGUACCUAAUCAGAAAGCCCCGGCUAACUACGUG
rnacentral:rRNA from 1 species